CAGUUGGGCUGACACCCCNGCGACGGGGAAAGCGAGGAGAAAACGGCAACCAUGGGGGAGUAAUACAAUUUAAAAAAAAUGCAGGGGAGGGGGUGGUAAAAGAGCAGUUGGAACAAUUCCUUCAUGUGGGGAAUUCCUACAGGGGGUCCCCAGCCCUAUCGCCAGAGCCACGUGUGUCCCUGUCCCCCUGCACAUGUCCCCUGUCCCCAGCUCUGUUCCUAUAGAACCCAGCUCUGACCCCCAUCCCUGGUCCCUCCAGCCCCAUCGCCGCUCCAUUCCCAACUCCUGUCCCCAUACUCACACCUCUGACCCCAUUCCUGAAGCUCCAGCCCACGUCCCUCUCAUCCCCAUCGGCUGUCCCCUCCUGUCCCCAUCCCCAUCCCUGCUCCAUCCUGGGACCUUCUGGGGUCACGAGCCUCUGGGUGCCCCAGCUGUCCCGUCCUGCUUUGUCCCUUUGUCCCCCUUCCCCUCUGCAUUCCCGUCUAUUCCCUCUUUCCUUCUCCCCUCUCCAGCUCUUUCCUUCUCCCCUCUCCAGCCCUUUCCCUAUUCAUCCUCUUCCCCUUCCCAGCCCCUUCCUCCUCCUUUUCCUGCUGUCCAUCCCUUUUCCCCCUCUUUCUCCUUCCCCUUUCCCUCCUAUUUCCUCUCUCUUCUCCUUUCCUUUUCCCUCCUUUCCCUCUCCCCACUCUUCUCUUUCCUUUUCCCCACACUGGUCCCUGUCCCCUCUCUCCCCUCCUUCCUCCAGCUCUCAGCCUCCUCAUCUUCCUCCCUUCGUAACUUUUUCUUCAAUUUUUCUUCCAUUUCCUUAUUUAAUUUUCUUUCCUCUUCCCUCCCUUUUCAUUUCCUUUUUAACCUUUCCUUUCCCCUUUCCUCCCUUUUCCUUUCUUCAUCUCUUUUCUUUCUCUCCUUUUCUCUCUACCUUUUUUCCCUCUUCCAAUUCCUUGUUCUUUUCCCCCUUUCCCUUCUCUCCCCCGCCUUUCUCUUCUCUCCCCCCUUUCUCUUUCUUUUCCNNNNNNNNNNNNNN
rnacentral:lncRNA from 1 species